CUCGUGUACGGGACAGGUGCCCCCCAACCA
rnacentral:tRNA from 1 species